UCAGACCUUGGGACGAGACCUACCGUGGCCAAGCGGGUUGGGACGCGGGCGGCAGGGGCUACUACUUCGCAUCCGGAAGACCAGACGCCGGCGCAGCUGGUGCUUGGGGCAGACCGCAAUAUAGCAGCAGACCUGAAGUAAGCAAUGGAUGGCAGAACGUCUACCGCGAUCCUUAUGCUAGCGGCGGCGGUGGCGGUGGCUACGCACCAGAUACAGGCUACGGUGGCUACCGGCAGGACUCAGGAGCCAGCUACGGCCGGCCUAGUGGCUGGCACAGUGUGAGCGCACGGCCUUAUAGAGACCAGAGCGGAGUAAACUCCUUGGACACCAGACCAGCUUACAACCAGCCAUCCCGCACCCAAUCCAGCGCUUACGGGCAGGAUAAUCGUGGCCAAUCC